rnacentral:lncRNA from 1 species
CUCCCUUUCCCAUUAAUUCAAGCCACCGCUCCCACUCCCAGGGAGUGAUACUGAGCAGAUGCAGGUCAGUAUCUCACAACACCAGGAGUCACUUUCAGCCUGGAUUUGUCACCUCUGCCGACCAGCCUUUGUUCAGCACCAGGAAGAGAUUUCACCCACAAAGGCAAAAAAUUUCGGCAGCAUGGGAGGACCUCAGCCACCUCAGGCGAGAGUGCCCAGGCAAGUGACAACAGUCAUCUGAAGAGCAGUCUAACCUCUCAAGAGUAAAAAGAAGGAAUGAGAAGGCACGCAAUCAAUCAAUCAAUGACUGCUGGUCCUCGAUAGCUUUAACGCGGUGCACGGCUGCACAGGCUUUACUCCGGGAGCAGGAGCUCUGGAAAUGCCAUGAGAUUUCCACCAGAUCCCUUCGGUUAUGGCUACGAACAAACUUCACACAUAAUGCGAGCGCCAGCGAGCAAGGGGGAACAGUGGCAAAAAGCGGCAGUUCCCUCAGAUGUGCACACAUGGCUUUACCGCGCCCGGACUGAGCAGCAGGAGGAGGAGACGCAGAGAUUCCCUCCGUGUGUGCAGGAAUGUCCCCUGCACACAAAGGUUCGCGGCGCAGCUGCUCCUGCUGCAAAAGCCCGGGAGGAGACGGGUGUUCCCACGGAAGAGGUCUCAGGAGGACAGCAGCUGGAUUCAGCCUCCAGAUCCCUCCCAGUCCUCCGCUAUCAUUUAAAAAAUCCUUCUGCCCUGGCUCAGGCUCGGAGGACUGAGAGCCCUUUGUGUGCAGUGCUGACAUGGCAGCCUGGCCCGUGAAGGCAGGAUUGUACGGGGCUGGGGGAGAGAGGGGCAAUGAAUAAACCUCACUGUUUUC